rnacentral:rRNA from 1 species
UACGUAGGGUACAAGCGUUAAUCGGAAUUACUGGGCGUAAAGCGUGCGCAGGCGGUUAUGUAAGACAGUUGUGAAAUCCCCGGGCUCAACCUGGGAACUGCAUCUGUGACUGCAUAGCUAGAGUACGGUAGAGGGGGAUGGAAUUCCGCGUGUAGCAGUGAAAUGCGUAGAUAUGCGGAGGAACACCGAUGGCGAAGGCAAUCCCCUGGACCUGUACUGACGCUCAUGCACGAAAGCGUGGGGAGCAAACAGG